rnacentral:lncRNA from 1 species
CCUAAACCGAACAUCUCGUUAUUACAUUAAAGCAAACAUACACUCUUAUUUUAACAUAAUAAAGAGAUCAAUUACACUAAAAUGUCCAACAAUAAAUUCCUAUAUGUCACCAAUGUUUGUUUCACCUUCUUGUGUUUCAAAAAAGUUGCUUCCAUUUCGUGUUAGACGAAGGGGACGAACUAAAAUGCUCGUCAUCACUGCAAAUAAUGGAUGAUGGGACAGGGGACCAUUCUUCAUGAAGCAUCCAUUCCUAAACACCCAAUUUACACAAAAAUUAGGAGUAUGUAUCAGCCAUAUCCAUCAAUGGUACCACCACUAAUGAAACAAUAAGAGUUUACAACGUGGAAAGCAAGAGGGGGGCUUUUUUUUACCAAGGGCAUUUUUGCGUGCCAUUUUCUAAUUGGGGAUGACUUCAAAAAAAAUUAUAACUACUUUUAAGUUAAAAGUUCUAACACAAUUUUCAAUUUUUAAUUUUAAAAAAUUAUAAAAAAUAUUUAAAUGUUAAAUAAAUAAUUUUAAUUUUAUUUAUUAAUAAUUUUUAUUUAAUUUAAUGUAUAUCUUUUAUGAUUAUAUUUUAUAUGUUAUUAAUUUAUUUUAAUGUUUUAUUAUUUAAAAUAUAUUAUAUAUAUUUUAUAUUAUUUUAUUUAAAUACUUUUUAUUUAUUUAAAAUUUAAAUAAUCUAUUAAUAAAAAUAAAUAAUAAAAUUUAGUAUCUCCUUUUAAUUUUAUUAUAUAUUUUUAUUAAUAGAUUAUCUAAAUUUUAAAUAAAUAAAAACAUUUAAAUAAAAUAAUAUUAAAAAUAUAUAAUAUAUUUUAAAUAAUAAAAAAUUAAAAUAAAUUAAUAACAUACAAAAUAUACACCAUAUUCAGUAAAAAUAUUAAUAAGUAAACUUUUAAUAAUAUUUUUUUACAAUUUUAAAUAAUUUUGACAUUUAAAUAAUUUUUUUACAAUUUUAAAAAAUUAGAAAAAUAUAAACUUUUAUAUUUUUCAAAAAAGCAAAAACUUAAAGAAUUAAAAAAAAAAUUUUAAAAAUUUAAAAUCAUAAAAUAAAAAAAAUUAUUUACGAUUUAAAGUCAUAAAAAAUUAAAAAUAGUAACAAGUAUUACUACUUGUAAUUCGUGUUAGAAGCUAAGAGAUAUUAUUCCUAAAGAAGAGUACAAAAUGUAGAAACUAAGGGUCUAAAUAAUUGGGGAAAAAAACUGCACAAUAGUAACAAUAACACGAAGAAGCUAAGUAGUAUAACAAAAAUAAGAACAAGAACAAAAAUGUUGAAGUCAUGAAAAACGAAAAAUUUCAUACCGGGCAAGCCUUUGUGGGGACUGGAAGAGAUGUUACUCAGAAAGUGACAAAAAAGUGUCAAAAAAGAAGAAGAAUAGAGAAACUUGCAUGCCUGGUAAGCUUUCAAGCGAUGAAGAACUCUUCGGAAGAUGACAAGUAAGGAACUUUGAAAAGAGAGGGAAAAAAC